rnacentral:rRNA from 1 species
UACGGGAGGCAGCAGGUGGGGAAUAUUGCACAAUGGGCGAAAGCCUGAUGCAGCUAUGCCGCGUGUAUGAAGAAGGCCUUAGGGUUGUAAAGUACUUUCAUCGGGGAGGAAAAAACAAAACUAAUAAUUUUAUUUCUUGACGUUACCCGAAAAAGAAGCACCGGCUAACUCCGUGCCAGCAGCCGCGGUAAUACGGAGGGUGCUAGCGUUAAUCAGAAUUACUGGGCGUAAAGAGCACGUAGGUGGUUUUUUUAAGUCAGAUGUGAAAUCCCUGGGCUUAACCUAGGAACUGCAUUUUGAAACUGAAAUACUAGAGUAUCGUAGAGGGAGGUAGAAUUCUAGGUGUAGCGGUGAAAUGCGUAGAUAUCUGGAGGAAUACCUGUGGCGAAAGCGGCCUCCUAAACGAAUACUGACACUGAGGUGCGAAAGCGUGGGGAGCGAAACGAGGGAUUAGAUACC